CAAAGUCAUGAAUUAGACUAUUCACUGUUAAUGAAUCCAAAAACUAAGUUUUGA
rnacentral:tRNA from 1 species